CGCCCGCCUCUGCUGAUGAACCCCCGUGCCCUGAGCCACCCUGAUGCUGGCUUCAAAGUAAACGCUCUGAAGAGGUGGGGCGGGG